GAUGAAGAACGUAGCGAAAUGCGAUAAGUAGUGUGAAUUGCAGAAUUCAGUGAAUCAUCGAAUCUUUGAACGCACAUUGCGCCCUUUGGUAUUCCUUAGGGCAUGCCUGUUCGAGCGUCAUUUAAACCUUCAAGCUAAGCUUGGUGUUGGGUGACUGUCCGCUUCACGGCGGACUCGCCUCAAAAUUAUUGGCGGCCGGUACAUUGGCUUCGAGCGCAGCAGAAACGCGAACUCGGGCCCGUCGUAUUGGCUCCCAGAAGCUAUCUUCACAAUUUUGACCUCGGAUCAGGUAGGGAUACCCGCUGAACUUAAGCAUAUCAAUAAGCGGAGG
rnacentral:misc_RNA from 1 species